rnacentral:rRNA from 1 species
CCGGAAUUAUUGGGCGUAAAGAGCUCGUAGGCGGUUUGUCGCGUCUGUCGUGAAAGUCCGGGGCUUAACCCCGGAUCUGCGGUGGGUACGGGCAGACUAGAGUGCAGUAGGGGAGACUGGAAUUCCUGGUGUAGCGGUGGAAUGCGCAGAUAUCAGGAGGAACACCGAUGGCGAAGGCAGGUCUCUGGGCUGUAACUGACGCUGAGGAGCGAAAGCAUGGGGAGCGAACAGGAUUAGAUACCCUGGUAGUCCAUGCCGUAAACGUUGGGCACUAGGUGUGGGGACCAUUCCACGGUUUCCGCGCCGCAGCUAACGCAUUAAGUGCCCCGCCUGGGGAGUACGGCCGCAAGGCUAAAACUCAAAGGAAUUGACGGGGGCCCGCACAAGCGGCGGAGCAUGCGGAUUAAUUCGAUGCAACGCGAAGAACCUUACCAAGGCUUGACAUGUUCUCGAUCGCCGUAGAGAUACGGUUUCCCCUUUGGGGCGGGUUCACAGGUGGUGCAUGGUUGUCGUCAGCUCGUGUCGUGAGAUGUUGGGUUAAGUCCCGCAACGAGCGCAACCCUCGUUCCAUGUUGCCAGCACGUAAUGGUGGGGACUCAUGGGAGACUGCCGGGGUCAACUCGGAGGAAGGUGAGGACGACGUCAAAUCAUCAUGCCCCUUAUGUCUUGGGCUUCACGCAUGCUACAAUGGCCGGUACAAUGGGUUGCGAUACUGUGAGGUGGAGCUAAUCCCAAAAAGCCGGUCUCAGUUCGGAUUGGGGUCUGCAACUCGACCCCAUGAAGUCGGAGUCGCUAGUAAUCG